GACGAACGCUGGCGGCGUGCUUAACACAUGCAAGUCGAACGGAAAGGCUCCAGCUUGCUGGAGUUCUCGAGUGGCGAACGGGUGAGUAACACGUGGGUAAUCUGCUCUGCACUCUGGGAUAAGCCUGGGAAACUGGGUUUACUACUGGAUAUGACCCUUCCUCUGAUGGGGUUUGGUGGAAAGUCUGUCGGUGUAGGAUGAGCUGGCGGGCUAUCGGCUUGGUGGUGGGGUGAUGGCCUACCCAGGCGACGACGGGUAGCCGGCCUGGGAGGGUGAACGGCCACAUUAGGACUAAGGGAGGGACCAGACUCCAACGGGAGGCAGCAGUGGGGAAUAUUACACAAUGGGCGGAAGCCUGAUGCAGCGACGCCGGGUGAGGAAUGACGGCCUUCGGGUUGAAAACCUCUUUCAGCAAAGACGAAGCGUAAGUGACGGUACCUGCAGAAGAAGCACCGGCUAACUAUGUG
rnacentral:rRNA from 1 species